UACGUAGGGUGCAAGCGUUGUCCGGAAUUAUUGGGCGUAAAGGGCUCGUAGGCGGUCCGUCACGUCGGGAGUGAAAACUUGGGGCUUAACCCCAAGCCUGCUUCCGAUACGGGCGGACUAGAGGUAGGCAGGGGAGAACGGAAUUCCUGGUGUAGCGGUGAAAUGCGCAGAUACCAGGAGGAACACCGGUGGCGAAGGCGGUUCUCUGGACAGUUCCUGACACUGAGGCACGAAGGCCAGGGGAGCAAACGGG
rnacentral:rRNA from 1 species